rnacentral:rRNA from 1 species
UACGUAGGGGGCAAGCGUUGUCCGGAUUUACUGGGCGUAAAGGGCGCGUAGGCGGCCACCGCAAGUCGGUUGUGAAAUCUCUGGGCUUAACCCAGAAAGGUCAACCGAUACUGCGGGGCUAGAGUGCAGAAGGGGCAACUGGAAUUCUCGGUGUAGCGGUGAAAUGCGUAGAUAUCGAGAGGAACACCUGCGGCGAAGGCGGGUUGCUGGGCUGACACUGACGCUGAUGCGCGAAAGCUAGGGGAGCGAACGGG